UGCUGGCCGGGGAGGCUCAGCGCUUCUUGAUGUGUCGCGUGAUGGGCGUGAGCGAGUCCCUGGACGCGUUCGUUGGUCGUAAGGACAGACCCAAUGCUAAGCUCACCAAGUCUGGUUAAGCCUUCCCUUCCUACCCUCCCAUUCAUAGCAGCUUCCUCGUCCCCCGACAAUAAACAUUCUGCCGCAUAAGGCACAAGAAUUGCUGUACCGAGCCACUGGCACAGACGAGUCUAUGGACAAGUUUUCUGGUCGGACCGCGCGUCCUACCAAGAAAAACUUAUAAAAGACGAGCGUGGAUCUCGAGAAUUUUAACCCACGAAGGACAAAAAUUUCUGUUUUACAAGUCAGGCUGUCAGCGCGCCCUCGACGACUUCAUGAAAGAUCCUCCUAAGACCGAGCUCAAGUCUAGCCCUCCUUCGUAGUGUCUUGUAACUCUUCAGUCACCCCCUCCUAAGAUCGAGCUCAAGUCUAGCCCAACCUCGUAGUGCUUUGUAACUCUUCAGUCACCGACACCUAAAAUUCCUCUGCUCAGUGUGAUGAUAUUUGAAUUUUAUUUGAGUUUCUCUUGAACGGAAGGGUUAGAUUACAAUUAUAUUCUAUUGUAUUCAUAUGCCAGGUGGAACCCAGAUUGUUAAGUCAGUUAUCAUUUAUAGUUAUAUGAUAAAUUUUAAUGGAUGUAGAGUCGAUUUCCUUCGCAUGCCUUAAUACAAGAACGGAUGGAUGUAUGACUCGUAACAUGUAUAUUCUUAGUGGUUUUAAUUCUUGAGUUUCCCAACGAAUAUAGUUCGUUGUCCGAAAUUUUUGGCGUGAAACGAGGAAAAAUGGGAUAAGUCAAAAUUCAAAAAAACCCUAAUUAGAAAAUUCAAAUCAAUCAAAAACAAAAGUUCAUUGCCUUGAAUGGUUUGAUGAAUCUACAUUAAGAUUGCGCGUGGAAUACGACUCAUAACAAUCGUUUAGACAUUCCUCGACAUCAGCAGGAAGCCCGCCAUGUUAGAUUAGAUGUGCCACGGCCGAGGGCGGGCGACUAUACUCAUUAACUAAUUUAUUAAGCCGUCCCGCUGCCUUUUUUUGUGAAGAACGAUCAAUUGCUUUAACCGUCAUUUGCUCCUAUUUGUAUCUUAGUCUGCUUGUGUAUAUUGCAGUUAGUGAUGAAGGUAUUUUAGCUAUUGACAGGUAGUUUAAUUUUGCCAUUUACAUUCGCUAAUGUCCGCCGCUCGGUUCAUCGAGAUGACGUUCAAAAAAAUUGCGUUUUCGCCGUUGUUUCUUGCCACGCAUUAAGCGUCCAUUGCUCAGCCGAUAGCAUUAGCGAAUUUCUUUUCUCUGUUUUUCACCUACAGAAUAUCCAGGUGUAAUUUUUGUUAGCGACAGCCCUUUUAUUUAUUAUGUUUUUAAACCAUAAUAAUUAUUGACAGUUUCCGCGAAUAUGUUUUUCCUCGAAAAAAUUAGGUCUAAUGCGAAAAAUUCCUCUGUGGACGCAGCACUUUUAUUGCUCCAGAAAAAUGUGUGGGAUGUAAUGUCUGUUCGUUGCAAGGUGGGUUAAACCUUGCAUUUAAAUUAAGUCUUAUCAAUUACUGAACGCAUUUUAUUAUUAAGCUGUGUUAAGUCAUGUGCUUUGUUUUCUGCUGUCGCAGCUAUGCCAGUUGAAUAACAUUUUAUGCAGGAUUGUAAUUAUAGCAAAGUUUUAUCUUGAACAACGCGGGAAAAUGUAAGUUUGCUAGUUAGAAUUUCACCUCUAAAUUACUUCUAUUUCUUGUAAUUAGAGUGACUACUCAUCGUGCACUGCUACAUCAAUCGUGACUCGUUCAAUUGCCGUGCCCAGUGAUUGUGAUGUAAUUCGGCAGCUUUUUUAUUUCUUAUCGUAAGUUUUAGUGUAACUGAAGUUCAUGAAGAAACUCUGCCACUUUCAUUAUAUACCUUUUGCGAUGAACUUUUGCCUAACAGUAAGAUUAUUUCGUACAAACUUUGACAAGUUUUUACUAGACAUUUAGAGCAUAAAAACAUACCUGUAUUAAAAUUUUCAAUUUC